AGACACCGACGUGUGUGCAUUACUCAGUAUGUGGAAAAACACUGACGAGGGCACGUGGGCGGCAUGAAUUAGACGGCAAGGACACUGAUCCGGUGAGCUAACCCAGCCUGGGAAGAGUCUCUCCGACCAGGAUAAAUGAAGAAGACCGCGGCGGACGGAGCCGUCGGCACGGCGGAGCUCGAUUGGAGGAGAGAUUAUUAUUCUUCGGUGGUAAUUAGUAGCACAUAAACAGCCAGAGGCAACAUCAUUUUAGAAAAUGUGCCUUUGUGAUACGUGGUCUCCGUACAACAGGCCUGUUCUCGUCGCUCUUCAAUAGUUAAUCAUGUUGCCUCCAGGACGUCCCCCGUGCGCUCACACAGAGGGUGAGGAGCCGGCGUACGGCAGAUGAAGUUGGUCUGACGAUGGACACACAUCACUGGUCUCCUGCUGUACUGUCCAAACAUCGGACAAACCCUUUGAUUGAGGUUCGUCAUUGUUAAAGGUUCCAUAGUGCGGUUAGCAUGUCUGCCUCGAGAGCAGAGAGUCCUGGGUUUGAUUCCCAGAGGAACCACACGCUUGAUUGUUAAUCCUCCUCCUGUAAGUCGCUUCGGAUAAAAGUGUCUGCUAAAAGCAUUAAUGUGAAUGAUUCACCGCAGAAACAGACCAACAAAGACGAGAAUAUUUAGAUGCUGAAGAUCUAUUAAAAUUUUUUAAAUCAAAGAAAUGGGUAUUGUAACAAAAUGGUACGUUGCGACAGGAUUGGCAAUCAAAGAAUUAUAUUACUUAUAUCUGACUAAUCCCCCUGCUGUCCAGAUCGGCUCACUACAUCAAAAUAACCGGGGACAUCUGAGCAGCCUGAGAUUUAAACCUUCGUAUUUAAGGUUUCUGUGCCUUUUAAAUACAGAUUUCAACCUCACUGAAUGGGUUUCUGCAUUAACAGAGACCAAACCAGCCCCUUCCCAGUGCUGAGUGUAUGCAAAUGUUUGCAUGUGAGUACUUUUACAGUUGAUGAAUACUAAUGUUUUCACUUUUCUUGUAGUUUUCUGUCCUUGGGCCUUUAUUGAAAAUGUUAAAAUAAAUAAAUAAAUACAUACAGGAAGCCUUGAAAAACACUUACUUCCUAAUUCCCUGUCUCCUCUCCUUCUCCCUCUCAUUAGCUGCGUUGAGCGCCCCCAUGGAAAACUUGUAUCCAUUAUUUAUUUCUAGCCCCCAAAAACAACAGCUGCACGCUUGUGUAACUGCCAUAUGUUAGGCUUCUCCCAACAUAUUGGGGCGAUUCAAGCCGCGGAGGGAAACUUUCCACCGACCGACCCGCAGAGAUCUGUAGCUGAACUUGGAUUACUUCACAAACUCAUUUUUCUCUGUAUCGAUAGAAAGAAAGAAAAAAAACGAUGUAAACUUUCUUCAACAGAGGUAGAAAAAAA